CCGGAUUGGAGUCUGCAACUCGACUCCAUGAAGUCGGAAUCGCUAGUAAUCGCGAAUCAGAAUGUCGCGGUGAAUACGUUCCCGGGCCUUGUACACACCGCCCGUCACACCAUGGGAGUGGGUUGCACCAGAAGUAGCUAGACUAACCUUCGGGAGGUCGGUUACCACGGUGUGAUUCAUGACUGGGGUGAAGUCGUAACAAGGUAGCCGUAGGGGAACCUGCGGCUGGAUCACCUCCUUA
rnacentral:rRNA from 1 species